rnacentral:rRNA from 1 species
CCCUUAGAUGUUCUGGGCCGCACGCGCGCUACACUGAUGCAUUCAACGAGCCUAUCCUUGACCGACAGGUCCGGGUAAUCUUUGAAUCUGCAUCGUGACGGGGAUAGAUUAUUGCAAUUAUUAAUCUUCAACGAGGAAUGCCUAGUAGGCGCAAGUCAUCAGCUUGCGUCGAUUACGUCCCUGCCCUUUGUACACACCGCCCGUCGCUCCUACCGAUCGAAGAGUUAGGUGAAUUGUUUUGAUCGAUAAGAUUUGACUAUGGUCAACUCUCGUUGUGAAAUUCUGUGAAUCUGACUGUUUAGAGGAAGGAAAAGUCGUAACA